UGUAAUAUGCCUAUACCCUCAUGUAACAAUAUUGCUCUAUCUUUUAUUAAAAAUGCAUUGCAUUUAACUACAUAUGAUAUGAUAAUAAUUAAAAAACAAAGAAUGCUUUUCUAGUAUUUCCUUUUCCUAUUUAGAAGCAUCUAGGUCAUUCUCUGCUCUGUGCUUCAGAAGAAGGCUGAGGACAAAAAAAAAAAGAUAGAUUCAAGAAGGUAUUUCCUGGCAUUUGGGGAUCAGCCGCUCAGGCCUGAAUAGAGGAGUGGAUGGGGAGGAAGUGAAAUGGACUCCGUUCAAAGACAAUAAAGCUGAUUCAGGGCAGCACCUGAUGUUGCAAGAGCCAUGCUUCCUGGUUCCUUCUUACCUCCAGACCGGAUAACAACCUCCUGGGCCCAGACUGGAAGAGGUGUCGGAAAGGAGAUUAGAGGCAGCUUUGAAGUUCAUCAGAAAACAAGAAACAAAGGGAAUAGAGAUGUCCUGGUACAAAGAAGGCAGCUGAGUCAUAGCUCCUGAAGCAGAAAACUCCAGGUACUCUGUGUGUGAUGGCCCGGGGUGGGGGGCAUCUGUGACAGCCCAGGAGGGGUCUGUGAUGGCAGAGGGGAGGCUGCCUCACCCAGCGGGGGGCAAAGACCACCGGGAGAUGAGACUCCUGCACCUGCCAAGGCGCCCAGGAACUCCAGAAUUGCAAAAUUACGCCACGGCGACCUGAUGGGCACUGAAGCAAACAAACAAAGACGCCUCAGAAAUAUUACGGGAUGCCAGUCAAGAUGAUAAAGGGACUUAAUUGUUCUUCCUUAACAAGAACUCAGAGGAGUUCCCAUCGUGGCUCAGUGGUUAACAGAUCCGACUAGGAACCAUGAGGAUGCGGGUUCCAUCCCUGGCGUUGCUCAGUGAGUUAAGGAUCCGGCAUUGCCGGGAGCUGUGUUGUAAGUCACAGAUGCGGCUCAGAUCCUGUGUUGCUGUGGCUGUGGUGUAGGCCGGCAGCUACAGGUCCAAUUGGACCCCUAGCCUUGGAACCUCCAUGUGCACCAGGUGCAGCCCUAGAAAAGACAAAAAAAGAAGGAAACAAGAACCCAGAGCCCUGGAUCUUGAGUUUACUCCUGCCAGCAGUGGCAUUUUAACCCGAGUGGAAGAAAACAUUUGUGUCAAAUUGUAGUCAUGUGUUAAUAAGUCUCUCUAUAAAGCCUUGAAGGCCUUGUGCCAGUGCUGAUCUUCAGUACAUAUGAUUUCACAUGAUCAGUAGGCAGUUCACACAUUCCCUGAGCUUGUUCUGAGGAGGAAGAUGCAGUUUAUGGAAGCUAAAGACCUGUAUCAGGAAACCUAAGUAUUUUGUCCAUGGCUGUGCCAAGAAAUGAAGGGGCUGUUGGGGAAAGGCAGUGCCUUGGAUAUUUGCCCUGAGCAGCCACGGGACAAGCAACCCUCUGUGAUACAGUGGAAGAUUAAUAGUGUCCCAUCACAUGACAUUGCCUCUAAAUCUCUAACUCAGGGAGAUUAGGAAGUUUCCAAAAUCCAUGACUGAGAACUGGAUAUUAAUUAAACAGAAGGUAAAUAAUAAAUUACCGCUUCAAAGAUGCA
rnacentral:lncRNA from 1 species